CGCAUUGGCAAAAUUUAGUGACCCCAGCAGAGACUGUAGCUCUUUGCGGUUGCAAGUACCGAGCUGUUGAUGUAGGUAAGAAUGUUCUCUAUCUUGUCGUGUGGUAGGCUUGCUUGCAUUGUGGUUGAGUCUAAUUGACCCAGGAAAGUGAUAAUCGUGUCUGGCCCCUCCGUUUUCUUAGGGGAGAUUGGUACACCUAGUUGCUCGAAUAGCUUGGUGGUAGCUUUGAGGCUACUAGGAGGGGAAAUAUUUUCCUCGACCAUUAAGAAGUCGUCCAGGUAAUGUAAUACCGUAGGGCAUCUGGCUAUGUUCAAUAGUAACCAGCACAAUGCUUCGGCAAAUGUGUCAAAAAUACCUGGGCCCGGCCCACUUAAUUCCAUGUAGGUGCCAGAGUGUGGGGUGGAUUGGUAGCAAUUUAAAGGCAUUAAUAAUAUCGAUCUUACUAAGCCAGGCUGCGACCCCUGCUUGUAUGAUCGCUAUAAUGGCGUGAUCUAUGGUGGUGUAUUGCAGGGAGAAUUCCUCGGAGGGUAUGAGGGAAUUAAGACUGGGCUUGGCCGAUGAGUGUGGUGCUGACAGGUCAAUGAUGAGUCUCUGUUUAAGGGAAGAUUUCCCUGUGACAAUACCAAUGGGGUUAGUACACCAUUCUUUGAAUGGAGGAGUUUUGAAAGGCCCCAAUACGAAACCUUCAGCAAUUUCUUGGGCUAUGAGAGUGUCAACAGCUGUGGGAUUAUGUUGUGCGGAUUGUAGAUUAGGGCAUUCCAGAGUCCCGGAUGGUAUGUGUAGAAUACCCGUGUGGAAGCCUUCUGUUAAACCAGAGAUAAG